UACGUAGGGGGGCAAGCGUUUGUCCGGAUUUAUUGGGCGUAAAGCGCGCGUAGGCGGUUACUUAAGUUGGAUGUGAAAGCCCUCGGCUUAACUGAGGAAGUGCAUCCAAAACUGAGUAGCUAGAGUACGAAAGAGGGUCGCGGAAUUCCCCGGUGUAGAGGUGAAAUUCGUAGAUAUCGGGAGGAACACCGGUGGCGAAGGCGGCGACCUGGGUCGAGACUGACGCUGAGGCGCGAAAGCGUGGGGAGCAAACAGG
rnacentral:rRNA from 1 species